ACAGACUGCUGCUGCCAGCCUCUGUGCCGCCCACUACCCCACCAUCCCCAUCAGCAGAGAGGAGAUAGCCAAUGUCUCAGGAGCUGGCGACAGCUUAAUGGCAGGAAUCCUUGCAGGGAUGCUUGAUAAACAUGACACAGAAACCUGUGUCCAGAUGGGUCUGCUUGCUGCAAGCUUGUCUCUCCGUUCCUAUGAGCCCAUAUCCCCAGAAAUCAGCACUUCCAGUGUCAGCCAGGAGCAAGUCAAGAGUAGGAGUUGGCCAGAGGCGAAGGUAUGGAAGAUGGACUAGAACACAGUGGCUUUCUUAUCUAUCACCUCCUUGAAGUCCCAGCAUUCCUAUUUCCAGGAACUAGACUGUUUUGAGCGUUGAGCUCAAAAGCUUGGUGCUGACCAGAGGACUUAGACUUUCAGUACUUUUGGGAGGUGAAUUGUUUGUAGAGUGCAUUCGGUGAAAACUGAUAUUACACUGUUCACAUUUAUGUUUGUCUGCUGUUGUUAAUGGUCCUUUUUUUUUAAUUUUAAAAAAAUUUUAUUUGGUGGGUUA